rnacentral:rRNA from 1 species
ACGGGUGAGUAAUACAUCGGAACGUAUCCUGGAGUGGGGGAUAGCCCGGCGAAAGCCGGAUUAAUACCGCAUACGCUCUGAGGAGGAAAGCGGGGGACCUUCGGGCCUCGCGCUCAAGGGGCGGCCGAUGGCGGAUUAGGUAGUUGGUGGGGUAAAGGCCCACCAAGCCGACGAUCCGUAGCUGGUCUGAGAGGACGACCAGCCACACUGGGACUGAGACACGGCCCAGACUCCUACGGGAGGCAGCAGUGGGGAAUUUUGGACAAUGGGGGCAACCCUGAUCCAGCAAUGCCGCGUGUGUGAAGAAGGGCUUCGGGUUGUAAAGCACUUUUGUCCGGAAAGAAAUCAUCCGGGGCCAAUACCCCUGGUGGAUGACGGUACCGGAAGAAUAAGCACCGGCUAACUUACGUGCCAGCAGCCGCGGUAAUACGUAGGGUGCGAGCGUUAAUCGGAAUUACUGGGCGUAAAGCGUGCGCAAGGCGGUGCUGUAAGACCGAUGUGAAAUCCCCCGGGGCUUUAACCUGGGGAACUGCAUUGGUUGACUGCAGCGGCUGGAGUAUGGCAUGAUGAGACGUGGAAUUCCA